rnacentral:rRNA from 1 species
AAUCAACGCUGGCGGCGUGCCUCAGACAUGCAAGUCGAACGAUUAAAGCUCUCUUCGGAGAGUGCAUAGAGUGGCGCACGGGUGAGUAACACGUAAGUAAUCUACCUUCGAGUGGGGAAUAACGUCCGGAAACGGACGCUAAUACCGCAUAAUGCAGCGGCAUCGUAAGAUGACAGUUGUUAAAGAUUUAUCGCUUGAAGAGGAGUUUGCGGCAGAUUAGCUAGUUGGUAAGGUAAUGGCUUACCAAGGCUACGAUCUGUAACCGGUCUUAGAGGACGGUCGGUCACACUGACACUGAAUAACGGGUCAGACUCCUACGGGAGCAGCAGUCGGGAAUUUUGGGCAAUGGGCGAAAGCCUGACCCAGCAACGCCGCGUGAAGGAUGAAGUAUUUCGGUAUGUAAACUUCGAAAGAAUAGGAAGAAUAAU